UGACAUCUGCUAGAACACUGUCCCCAUGUU
rnacentral:piRNA from 1 species